ensembl:lncRNA
UUUGUGGGACAACAUCUGGAGAUGAAGAUGUUGACUUGCUUGCUGUUUGAGUUGUAGAUAUAACUUGAGUUGUUAUUUGAGAAGUAGGUGUCGGUGUUCGAGUAGAUGUUAAUGCAGCUGAUAUCAAUGUUGAUGCAGUUGAUCUCGAAGUUGGUGCAGUUGUUGUUCUUGUAGUAGAUGGUGCAGCUGAUGUUGAUGUUGCAGUUUGAGUUGUAGGUGUUGUUGCAGUUGAUUGACUGGUUGAUGUUGCUUGUGUAGAUGUAAAUAAAAUAUUUGAUGCAGUCGCAGUUGAUGAAGAUGCUGGUGCAGUUGUUGAUGAUAGAGGGGUAGAUGUUGGUGCAGUUUGUUUUGAGGAUGUAUCAGUUGUUGUUGACUGAGUGGUAGAUGUUGGUGCAAUUGAUGUCGAUGUUACAGUUGUUGUUGAUUGAUUUGUAGGUGUUGUUGCAGUUGAUUGCCUGGUAGAUGUUGGUUGUGUAGAUGUAGAUAAAAUAUUUGAUGCAUUCACAGUUGAUGAAGAUGCUGGUGCAGUUGUUGUUGAUGAUAGAGGGUAGAUGUUGGUGCAGUUUGUGUUGAGGAUGUAUCAGUUGUUGUUGACUGAGUGGUAGAUGUUGGUGCAAUUGAUGUUGAUGUUACAGUUGUUGUUGAUUGAUUUGUAGGUGUUGUUGCAGUUGAUUGCCUGGUAGAUGUUGCUUGUGUAGAUGUAGAUAAAAUAUUUGAUGCAGUCGCAGUUGAUGAAGAUGCUGGUGCAGUUGUUGUUGAUGAUAAAGGGGUAGAUGUUGGUGCAGUUUGUGUUGAGGAUGUAUCAGUUGUUGUUGACUGAGUGGUAGAUGUUGGUGCAAUUGAUGUCGAUGUUACAGUUGUUGUUGAUUGAUUUGUAGGUGUUGUUGAAGUUGAUUGACUGGUUGAUGUUGGUUGUGUAGAUGUAGAGAAUAAAAUAUUUGAUGCAGUCGCAGUUGAUGAAGAUGCUGGUGCAGUUGUUGAUGAUAGAGGGGUAGAUGUUGGUGCAGUUUGUGUUGAGGAUGUAUCAGUUGUUGUUGACUGAGUGGUAGAUGUUGGUGCAAUUGAUGUCGAUGUUACAGUUGUUGUUGAUUGAUUUGUAGGUGUUGUUGCAGUUGAUUGCCUGGUAGAUGUUGGUUGUGUAGAUGUAGAUAAAAUAUUUGAUGCAUUCACAGUUGAUGAAGAUGCUGGUGCAGUUGUUGUUGAUGAUAGAGGGGUAGAUGUUGGUGCAGUUUGUGUUGAGGAUGUAUCAGUUGUUGUUGACUGAGUGGUAGAUGUUGGUGCAAUUGAUGUCGAUGUUACAGUUGUUGUUGAUUGAUUUGUAGGUGUUGUUGAAGUUGAUUGACUGGUUGAUGUUGGUUGUGUAGAUGUAGAUAAUAAAAUAUUUGAUGCAGUCGCAGUUGAUGAAGAUGCUGGUGCAGUUGUUGAUGAUAGAGGGGUAGAUGUUGGUGCAGUUUGUGUUGAGGAUGUAUCAGUUGUUGUUGACUGAGUGGUAGAUGUUGGUGCAAUUGAUGUCGAUGUUACAGUUGUUGUUGAUUGAUUUGUAGGUGUUGUUGCAGUUGAUUGACUGGUUGAUGUUGCUUGUGUAGAUGUAGAUAAAAUAUUUGAUGCAGUCGCAGUUGAUGAAGAUGCUGGUGCAGUUGUUGUUGAUGAUAGAGGGGUAGAUGUUGGUGCAGUUAGUGUUGAGGAUGUAUCAGUUGUUGUUGACUGAGUGGUAGAUGUUGGUGCAAUUGAUGUCGAUGUUACAGUUGUUGUUGAUUGAUUUGUAGGUGUUGUUGCAGUUGAUUGACUGGCUGAUGUUGGUUGUGUAGAUGUAGAUAAUAAAAUAUUUGAUGCAGUUGAUGAAGAUGCUGGUGCAGUUGAUGAUAGAGGGGUAGAUGUUGGUGCAGUUUGUGUUGAGGAUGUAUCAGUUGUUGUUGACUGAGUGGUAGAUGUUGGUGCAAUUGAUGUCGAUGUAACAGUUGUUGUUGAUUGAUUUGUAGGUGUUGUUGCAGUUGAUUGACUGGUAGAUGUUGGUUGUGUAGAUGUAGAUAAUAAAAUAUUUGAUGCAUUCACAGUUGAUGAAGAUGCUGGUGCAGUUGUUGUUGAUGAUAGAGGGGUAGAUGUUGGUGCAGUUUGUGUUGAGGAUGUAUCAGUUGUUGUUGACUGAGUGGUAGAUGUUGGUGCAAUUGAUGUCGAUGUUACAGUUGUUGUUGAUUGAUUUGUAGGUGUUGUUGAAGUUGAUUGACUGGUUGAUGUUGGUUGUGUAGAUGUAGAUAAUAAAAUAUUUGAUGCAGUCGCAGUUGAUGAAGAUGCUGGUGCAGUUGUUGUUGAUGAUAGAGGGGUAGAUGUUGGUGCAGUUUGUGUUGAGGAUGUAUCAGUUGUUGUUGACUGAGUGGUAGAUGUUGGUGCAAUUGAUGUCGAUGUUACAGUUGUUGUUGAUUGAUCUGUAGGUGUCGUUGCAGUUGAUUGACUGGUUGAUGUUGGUUGUGUAGAUGUAGAUAAUAAAAUAUUUGAUGCAGUCGCAGUUGAUGAAGAUGCUGGUGCAGUUGUUGUUGAUGAUAGAGGGGUAGAUGUUGGUGCAGUUUGUGUUGAGGAUGUAUCAGUUGUUGUUGACUGAGUGGUAGAUGUUGGUGCUAUUGAUGUCGAUGUUACAGUUGUUGUUGAUUGAUUUGUAGGUGUUGUUGAUUGAGGUGUAGAUGUUAGUGUUGUUGAUUCAGAUAUUGAUUCAGUGGUUGGUGAGUGAGAUGUAGAUGUUGUUUCAGAUGUAGAUGUUUCUGUAGCUGAUGUAGAUGUUGGUUCAGUGGUUGUUGUUUCAGAUGUAGGUGUUUCUGUAGCUGAUGUAGAUGUUGGUUCAGUGGUAGUUGUUGAUUCAGAUGUAGAUGCUUGAGCAGGUGUUGUUAUUUGUGGUGUAGAUGUUGGUGUUGAUUCAGAUGUUGAUUCAGUGGUUGGUGAGUGAGGUGUAGAUGUUGUUGUUGAUUCAGAUGUAGAUGUUUCUGUAAUCGAUGUAGAUGUUGGUUCAGUGGUUGUUGAUUCAGAUGUAGAUGCUUGAGCAGGUGUUGUUGAUUGAGGUGUAGAUGUUAGUGUUAUUGAUUCAGAUGUUGAUUCAGUGGUUGGUGAGUGAGAUGUAGAUGUUGUUGUUUCAGAUGUAGAUGUUUCUGCAGCUAAUGUAGAUGUGGUAGUUGUUGAUUCAGCUGUAGAUGUUUCAGGAGGUAUAGAUGUUUCUGUAGUCGAUGUAGAUGUGGUAGUUGUUGAUUCAGCUGUAGAUGUUUCAGCAGGUAUAGAUGUUUCUGUAGUCGAUGUAGAUGUGGUAGUUGUUGACUCAGCUGUAGAUGUUUCAGCAGGUGUAGAUGUUUCUGUAGUCGAUGUAGAUGUUGGUUCAGUGGUUGUUGUUGAUUCAGCUGUAGAUGUUUCAGCAGGUGUAGAUGUUUCUGUAGUUGAUGUAGAUGUUGGUUCAGUGGUUGUUGUUGAUUCAGCUGUAGAUGUUUCAGCAGGUGUAGAUGUUUCUGUAGUUGAUGUAGAUGUUGGUUCAGUGGUUGUUGUUGAUUCAGCUGUAGAUGUUUCAGCAGGUGUUGUUGAUUGAGGUGUAGUUAUUGGUAUUGAUUCAGAUGUUGAUUCAGUGGUUUGUGCAGCUGGUGAUGUAAAAGAAAAUGAAAUAGCAAAACUUGAAUAAAUGAGAUAGAACAAAAAGCAUUAAUAGAUUGCAGGCAACAGUGACCUAUAGUGUAAAAAAAAAAAAAACUGCAUCAGGGAAAUUAAUGUUAAUUUCGAAGUGAGUGAUCAAGUUUUGUUUGUUUUAGU